AGUGAACGCUGGCGGUAGGCCUAACACAUGCAAGUCGAACGGCAGCACAGUAAGAGCUUGCUCUUACGGGUGGCGAGUGGCGGACGGGUGAGGAAUACAUCGGAAUCUACUUUUUCGUGGGGGAUAACGUAGGGAAACUUACGCUAAUACCGCAUACGACCUACGGUUGAAAGCAGGGGACCUUCGGACCUUGCGCGAUUGAAUGAGCCGAUGUCGGAUUAGCUAGUUGGCGGGGUAAAGGCCCACCAAGGCGACGAUCCGUAGCUGGUCUGAGAGGAUGAUCAGCCACACUGGAACUGAGACACGGUCCAGACUCCUACGGGAGGCAGCAGUGGGGAAUAUUGGACAAUGGGCGCAAGCCUGAUCCAGCCAUACCGCGUGGGUGAAGAAGGCCUUCGGGUUGUAAAGCCCUUUUGUUGGGAAAGAAAAGCAGCAGGUUAAUACCCCGCUGUUCUGACGGUACCCAAAGAAUAAGCACCGGCUAACUUCGUG
rnacentral:rRNA from 1 species